GACCUACGGGAGGCAGCAGUGGGGAAUAUUGCACAAUGGGCGCAAGCCUGAUGCAGCAACGCCGCGUGAGGGAUGAAGGCCUUCGGGUUGUAAACCUCUUUUAGCAGGGAAGAAGCGAAAGUGACGGUACCUGCAGAAAAAGCACCGGCUAACUACGUGCCAGCAGCCGCGGUAAUACGUAGGGUGCAAGCGUUGUCCGGAAUUAUUGGGCGUAAAGAGCUCGUAGGCGGUUUGUCACGUCUGCUGUGAAAAUCCAAGGCUCAACCUUGGACUUGCAGUGGGUACGGGCAGGCUAGAGUGCGGUAGGGGAGAUGGGAAUUCCUGGUGUAGCGGUGGAAUGCGCAGAUAUCAGGAGGAACACCAAUGGCGAAGGCACAUCUCUGGGCCGUAACUGACGCUGAGGAGCGAAAGCGUGGGGAGCAAACAGGAUUAGAUACCCUAGUAGUCGGU
rnacentral:rRNA from 1 species